CCGGUGCCCCAAGAGGAUAAGAGACCGGCCCCUCCUGCCUGAAACCCUAGCUCACUUUCCCCUCUCCCUCGCGUCUCUCUCUUCUCCUCAACACGAACCCGAGCCGCCAUCGCCAUGGAUCUUCUCACCCACGUCCUCUCUGUCGUUCCCGCAAGCUGGUAACUCGUCCUGGAGCUUCGUCAUGCUCGACUACCUCACCAGCACCCUCAAGUUCGAGCUCUCCGCCUCUCCAUCACCGGGAUCGACGCCGUCUUCCUCCUUCGGCCACCGUCUCGCCAUCGACGAUUGCCGUCGUCCUGCUGCUACUAAGCUUUCAUCGGGCCACCGUGUGCCUCCGCGGUGAGCUUCCACUCAUUUACCCCCUCCCCUGAACUCGUCCCUCCGUCUCCUACUAUCGCUACCAUCGCCACCGUAGUUCGUCGCUGCCGUUGCACUCGCUAUCGUCAGUUCGUCACCUCCUCCUGGCCGGCCAAGCACGUGGGCCUGCUCAGGACCUCGUGGCGAUGCCAUUCGUGUCCUAGAACCCCUGUGCCGUGUCCCACGGCCAUGACCCCGAGCUCGGUCAAGCUCCGGUCACCGCCACGCCCCGUCCGCGACCCAAACACUGCCGCACGCGCCCUGCUCCCCUCAACCGCGCCCCCGACCGCUGGUGCCUCCGCCCCGUGCCCGCUCGCCGGCCGCCCUUCUGUAGCCACGCCCGCGCACUGCUAGCGCCGCCCGCGCGUCGCUCCGGCUGCCCGGUGCCUCCCGCUGCUAUACUACUGCUGCUUCUGUUGCCGUUGGCAACUGCUCCUGUGCUGCUGACUGCUGCUACGCGCCUGUUGCCAUCACUGCUGCUGCCAAGGGCUGCGGCCUCCGCCUCCUACUGCUACCCACGCCCCCGCGAGCUCCUAGCCGUCGUAGCCGAACGGUCCCGCGCCCUAGCCCCGGGCUCGGCCGCGCCGACACCUCCCCUUGCCGAUGCGGCCCCGCUGUCGCCUAGCCGUGCGCCGGUUCCUCCGGCCCCGUCCCGCGGCCGCCUCCGCCCUGCCGCACUCGACCGCCGCAGCCUCUGCUGGCCGGCUGCGCCGAGCCGGGCUCCCUGCCAUGGUCGCGAGUAGGCCUCUGGCCGCCGACGCCUUGAGCGUUCGUGCUUGCCCUGCCUGGGAGGCCGGCUAUGCCUUGCUAGUGGGCCAACCCAAACUAGAUUAGGGGGCCUAAUUAACUCUAUUAACUUAUCCUUUUAUGGACCUUUCUCUUACACGUGGGUCCUCCUGCUAAUAAAACGUGGCUAAAUAAGUUUACUAAAACUGUGUCAAUGACAUGUGGCCCCACAUGUCAGCUUGACCCGGUCAACCUUGACUCUGUUGACCCACUGGUUGGGCAGUUGACGAAGUCAACUGAUCCCACAUGUCAUCCUCUCUGGUUAUGUACCCACUGGGUACGGAUAGCCUUUUUCUAUUUAAUUUCGAAAUAAAACAAUUCCUUUCAGAAUGAUAUUAAAACAUUGAAAAAUCAUAGAAAUAAACCGUAGCUCGGAUGAAAAAGUUUUCUACAUGAAAGUUGAUCAGAACAACGAGGCGAAUCCGAAUACAUGGUCCGUUCGUUCGCCACAAGUCCCUAGCAUAGCGAACAUGCAAUUUUUCCCCUCCGGAUCAUCUUCCCGAAAACGCGGAACACCAGGAAUACUUCCCCGGAUGUUUCCCCCUUCCCCAGUAGCACCUAAUACUUCGUUAGGUCAUCCCUAGAACCGCGUACUGCCAUGUUAUGCUUUGUGAUGCUUUGAUUGCUCUGUUAUUCAUUGUGUUCCCCCUCCGUUACUUCUUUCCGGUAGACCCCGAGACUGCGGUUGAACCAGUGAUCGACUACUUCACCUUCGAGGGUCUGUUUCUGCCUACAGAGCAACCAGGCAAGCCCCCCUUGAUCACCAGAUAUCGCCUAUUCUUCUCUCUACUGCUUGCAUUAGAGUAGUGUAGCAUGUUACUGCUUUCCGUUAAUCCUAUUAUGAUGCAUAGCCUGUCAUUGUUGCUACAAUUGUUGAUACCUUACCUGCAAUCCUAAAUGCUUAGUAUAGGAUGCUAGCAUUUCAUCAGUGGCCCUACAUUCUUGUCCGUCUGCCAUGCUAUACUACCGGGUCAUGAUCACUCAGGAGGUGAUCACGGGUAUAUACUUAUAUACAUUAUAUAUGAUACCUGUGGUGACUAAAGUCGGGUCGGCUCGUAGAGUACCCGCAGGUGAUUCUGAUGAGGGGGAUGAAAGGACAGGUGGUUCCGUCCCGGUAGAGGUGGGCCUGGGUUCCCGACGGCCCCUGACUAUUACUUUGUGGCGGAGCGACAGGGCAGGUUGAGACCACCUAGGAGAGAGGUGGGCCUGGCCCUGGUCGGCAUUCGCGGUUACUUCAAAUAACACGCUUAACGAGAUCUUGGUAUUUGAUCUGAGUCUGGCCACUGGCCUAUACGCACUAACCAACUACGCGGGAACAGUUAUGGGCACUCGACGUCAUGGUAUCAGCCGAAGCCUUCUUGACAUCAGCGACUGGGCGGUGCGUGCCGGGUUGGACCGCGUAACACAACUUCCUUUGUAAUGGAGGUUGCUAGGUCUACUCACCGGCCACGUACGCAACGUGCAGGUGUGCAACGGGCGAUGGGCCCAGACCCCUGCGUGCAUAGGAUUUAGACCGGCGUGCUGACCUCUCUGUUCUGCCUAGGUGGGCCUGCGAUGUGUUGAUCUUCCGAGGCCGGGCACGACCCAGGAAAGUGUGUCCGACCAAAGGGGAUCGAGCGUGUUGGGAAAUGUGGUGCACUCCUGCAGGAAAGUUUAUCUAUUCGAAUAGCCGUGUCCCUCGGUAAAAGGACGACCCGGAGUUGUACCUUAACCUUAUGACAACUAGAACCGGAUUCCAAGUGCCAGAUACAACCCGGUGAUUGGUCUCUCAUAGGGCGACGAGGGGAGGAUCGCCGGGUAGGAUUAUGCUAUGCGAUGAUACUUGGUGAACUUACCAUCUACUCUCUUCUACAUGCUGCAAGAUGGAGGUUGCCAGAAGCGUAGUCUUCGACAGGACUAGCUAUCCCCCUCUUAUUCUGGUAUUCUGCAGUUCAGUCCACAUAUACUACCCGUUUCAUUUGAUACCAAUGCAUACAUAUGUAGUGUAGUUCCUUGCUUGCGAGUACUUUGGAUGAGUACUCACGGUUGCUUUGCUCCCUCUUUUCCCCCUUUCCUUUCCUCUCGGUUGUCGCAACAAGAUGUUGGAGUCUAGGAGCCAGAGGAUCCCGAGGAUGUUUCUAUGUGGAGUUCGACUUCGAGGAGUAGUUAGGAGGUCCCAGGCAGGAGACCUUGCCUUUUCGAUCGUUACUACUUUUGUGCUAGCCAUCUUAUGGAAACUUGUUUAACUUAUGUCUGUACUCAGAUAUUGUUGCUUCCGCUGACUUUUGUGCUUUCGAUCUUAUGUAUUCGAGCCUUCGAGGCCCCUGGCUUGUAAUAUAAAGCUUGUAUGAUUUCUAAUUUGUGUCUAGAGUUGUGUUGUGAUA
rnacentral:lncRNA from 1 species